rnacentral:snRNA from 1 species
CGGACCCGAAGAUCCGAA